UCUAAUUAUUAUCUAAAUCUCAUUUUUUUUUUAAAUUGUGUAAUAUAUCAAUGUUUAUGAAUGAUGAUUUUUUUCCACCAAGAUCUAUGAAUGCCAUGAUUAAUAUAGUAUUUGCUAUCUGAUUAUUAUUUACAAUAACUUGAAAUUUAAAUAGAAAAGUAACAAUAAGAUUAAUAAAAUUUAAUAAUUUUUUUGUUUGGAUUGCUGUGAUAUUACAUUUUAUAACGGAGAAACCUGUAUCUUUCAAAACUCUCUAAGACUUCUGAUCUUCCGGAUAUUUCGAGAAAGCAGUUGGUAACAAUUCAUUUGUUGCACACCUAUCAGGAUUAAUGUUAAAAUUAGACAAGUAAGUAAUUAUGUAUAUAUUUAUUGAUUUCUUUAGCAGUUACAAAAUUAUUCACCUAGAAAUAGAUCAGUAUUAGAAUCUAUUAUAAUAACGGUGUAUUUGACAAUAAAAUUGUUACACAUUUAUGUGUUACUGAUCAUAUUUAACUAGAGGCUAUUUUAAAAUUUAACUAUUUUCCUAUUUAAGAUUGCGUGGUUAUAAACGUUAGCAUAGAGAAGCAAUUUUAUAAUUAUAUACAACUGAAAGUGAAUCAUUAUAUGGGUUAUUAAAUGUGUUGUUACGAAUAUUAUGAGCUGUUCAGCUAAACGUUUUGCUGAAGCCUUUCCGUAUUUUUUAUUAAGUUUACGAUAUUAGAUGGAA